CUAGCGAUCCGCCGGUGGAUUUUUAGCCCUGGUGGGUAGCUUCCCGGAAACGAAAGUCUUCCGGUUCCGGGGGAAGUAUGGUUGCAAAGCUGAAACUUAAAGGAAUUGACGGAAGGGCACCACCAGGAGUGGAGCCUGCGGCUUAAUUUGACUCAACACGGGGAAACUCACCCGGCCCGGACACCGUAAGGAUUGACAGAUUGAUAGCUCUUUCAUGAUUCGGUGGUUGGUGGUGCAUGGCCGUUCUUAGUUCGUGGAUCGAUUUGUCUGGUUUAUUCCGAUAACGAGCGAGACUCUAGCCUACUAAAUAGUAACGAGAUUAUCAAUGUCUCAGUUGCUUCUUAGAGGGAUUUUCGGUGUUUAGCCGCACGAGAUUGAGCAAUAACAGGUCUGUGAUGCCCUUAGAUGUCCGGGGCUGCACGCGCGCUACACUGGCGAAAUCAGCGUGCUGUAUCCAUUCUCGAAAGGGAUUGGUAAACCCAUGAAAAUUUGCCGUGCUUGGGAUCGGAAAUUGCAAUUAUUUUCCGUGAACGAGGAAUUCCAAGUAAGUGCGAGUCAUCAACUCGCUCUGAUUACGUCC
rnacentral:rRNA from 1 species